UACGAAGGGGGCUAGCGUUGCUCGGAAUUACUGGGCGUAAAGCGCACGUAGGCGGUCUUUUAAGUCGGGGGUGAAAUCCUGGAGCUCAACUCCAGAACUGCCUUCGAUACUGGAAGACUUGAGUCCGGGAGAGGUGAGUGGAACUGCGAGUGUAGAGGUGAAAUUCGUAGAUAUUCGCAAGAACACCAGUGGCGAAGGCGGCUGACUGGGCCAUUACUGACGCUGAGGCGCGAAAGCGUGGGGAGCAAACAGG
rnacentral:rRNA from 1 species